rnacentral:misc_RNA from 1 species
UCGAAUAGAAACUGAGGUGGGUUGUUGCUGGCUCUCCUUUGGAGUGCAUUGUGCACGCUCGCUUCUCUUUACUUCUCCAACUGUGCACAAAUUGUAGACCCCUAGGUCUAUGUUUUUCUCACAAUCUCUGAAUGUAUUGGAAUGGUUUGAAUCUGGGGAACAUGCAUA